rnacentral:rRNA from 2 species
UGAGGAAUAUUGGUCAAUGGACGCAAGUCUGAACCAGCCAUGCCGCGUGAAGGAUGAAGGCCUUCUGGGUUGUAAACUUCUUUUAUUGGGGAAGAAAACUACGGUUUCUACUGUAGCCGACGGUACCCAAGGAAUAAGCACCGGCUAACUCCGUGCCAGCAGCCGCGGUAAUACGGAGGGUGCAAGCGUUAUCCGGAUUCACUGGGUUUAAAGGGUGUGUAGGCGGAUAUUUAAGUCAGAGGUGAAAUCUCCAGGCUCAACCUGGAAACUGCCUUUGAUACUAUUUAUCUUGAAUUUUGUUGAGGUAGGCGGAAUAUAUCAUGUAGCGGUGAAAUGCAUAGAUAUGAUAUAGAACACCGAUUGCGAAGGCAGCUUACUAAGCAAACAUUGACGCUGAGGCACGAAAGCGUGGGGAUCAAACA